rnacentral:lncRNA from 1 species
AUGGUUUGCUAUUCACCUGACCCAAAAAACCCCAUAAAACCAUGCAAACCAAGAGGUUCAAAUCUUUGUGUUCACUUUAAGAACACCUGUGAAAUUCCCUAGGCUAUCAAAGGUAUGCAUAUAUGAAAAGCCACCAAGUUAUCUGAAAGAUGUCACUUUACGGAAACAACGUGUACCAUUCCAGCCUUCCAAGGGUGGAGUUGGUAGGUAUGCACAGGCCAAACAGUGGGGCUGGACACAGGGCUGGUGGCCCAACAAGAAUGCUGCAUUUUUCCUGCACAUGUUUAAAAGUGCAGAGAGUGAUGCUGAAUUCAAGGGUUUAGAUGUAGAUUCUCUGGUCACUAAGCACAUCCAGGUGAAUGAAACACCCAAGAUGGGCCACUGUACUUUCAGAGCUCAUGGUCAGAUGAAUUUAUAUAUAUGAGCUCCCUCUGCCACAUGGAGAUGAUCCUCGCUGGAAAGGAAGAAAUUGUUCCUAAACCACAAGAGGUGGCUGCAUGGAGAAAAAAAAAAAAAAGUGUCCCAUAAGAAACUGAAGAAACAAAAGCUCAUGGCACGA